rnacentral:rRNA from 1 species
GACGAACGCUGGCGGCGUGCUUAACACAUGCAAGUCGAACGGAAAGGCCCUGCUUUUUUGGGGUACUCGAGUGGCGAACGGGUGAGUAACACUUGAGUAACCUUCCCUUGACUUUGGGAUAACUUCAGGAAACUGGGGCUAAUACCGGAUAGGAGCUCCUGCUGCAUGGUGGGGGUUGGAUAGUUUCGGCGGGUGGGGAUGGACUCGCGGCUUAGCAGCUUGUUGGUGGGGUAGUGGAUUACCAAGGCUUUGACGGGUAGCCGGCAUGAGAGGGUGACCGGCCACAUUGGGACUGAGAUACGGCCCAGACUCCUACGGGAGGCAGCAGUGGGGAAUAUUGCACAAUGGGCGGAAGCCUGAUGCAGCAACGCCGCGUGCGGGAUGACGGCCUUCGGGUUGUAAACCGCUUUCGCCUGUGACGAAGCGUGAGUGACGGUAAUGGGUAAAGAAGCACCGGCCAACUACGUG